AACAACAGCAACUCAUUUCUUACAAUUCUGGAGGCCGAGAGAUUCAAGUUCAAGGUGCCUGUGGAUCCAGUAUCCAGUGAUGGUCCAUAUCUAACUUGAUGAUGACACCUCCUUGCUAUGUUCCCACAGGAGAAAGAAAAGCAACUCCCCAAGGCCUUUCUUAAGGACACUAAUCCCAUUUGGAAAGACUUUGACCUCCGACUUAAUCACCCCCCCUACCAAAGGCCCCCCUACCUCAUAAUUCCAUCCCACUGGUGAUUAGGGUUUCAAUUUACAAAUUUCAGGAGGAUUCAUUCAGACUCUACAAGAGCCUCAAAUGAAGUCGCUUGACUGGUUGAACUGUCCGUCUCCUGCUUGUAAGGACUAAAGGUCAGCUGAAGAAAGUAAAGACACAAAAAGGAUCCAUGAGAGUCGGUGACAGCCCAGCCAGGGAGUGAGCAUUGUUGGAGUUGAUGCUGUGUUACCGCCACUGACUGCUUCAGGGAAAGAAUAUAGCCAACUCACCCUAAGCCCUGGGCAAGAAGGUACCCUGUCCCCACCUCUGCAUAUUGGAGGGUCUUCUUCAGCCUUCCUGGAGAUGAACUUUUCACCCUGGGCUAAGAAUGUGAGGGUUAAGAAGAAAAACCUCCUGGGACAGCAAGAUGGCUCAGUAGGAGAAAAAUGAAAAAUCCAGAAAAGACAAGAGAUCUAAGAACACUACCAUUGGUCCAGUUUUGAUGGCUGGGGAAGAUAGAGUUUGAGGAUGGGAGUAAUUCUGCAUCUUUCACCUAUAGACCUACACUAAGAGCUGGUUCAUAUCUUAUGACUUUAUAUCCUGGCAAGAGUAAGACAUUUUGAGGGACAUUUCCCCCAAAUGACACAGCCAGUCAGCAAUGAUUAAACUGGACACUGUUUGGACAUCAAAUUGCUGGAAGAACAUUAAAGAAGCAAUUACUUAACAAAUUACUGAGCAUAGGAACAAAGGCGUGAAGGAUAAGGACGGCUGAAGGAAGACAAAAAAGACAGCAGAAGCUUCAGCAUUUGCUACCUCU